AUUGAACGCUGGCGGCAGGCCUAACACAUGCAAGUCGAGCGGAGCGGCGGACGGGUGAGUAAUGCCUAGGAAUAUGCCUGGUAGUGGGGGAUAACGUCCGGAAACGGGCCCUAAUACCGCAUCCUAUCAGAUGACCAUAGGUCGGAUUAGCUCGUUGGUGGGGUAACGGCUUACCAAGGCGACGAUCCGUAACUGGUCUGCGAGGAUGAUCAGUCAAACUGGAACGGAGACACGGUCCAGACUCCUACGGGAGGCAGCAGUGGGGAAUAUUGGACAAUGGGCGAAAGCCUGAUCCAGCCAUGCCGCGUGUGUGAAGAAGGUCUUCGGAUUGUAAAGCACUGUAAGUUGGGAGGCGUUACCAACAGAAUAAGCACCGGCUAACUACGUGCCAGCAGCCGCGGUAAUAC
rnacentral:rRNA from 1 species